GUGGAGACCAGUCUGCAUGGAGCCGACCUUGAAAUACCACCCUUUAAUGUUUGAUGUUCUAACGUUGACCCGUGAUCCGGGUUGCGGACAGUGUCUGGUGGGUAGUUUGACUGGGGCGGUCUCCUCCUAAAGAGUAACGGAGGAGCACGAAGGUUGGCUAAUCCUGGUCGGACAUCAGGAGGUUAGUGCAAUGGCAUAAGC
rnacentral:rRNA from 1 species